GGGGGAAGUCCCAGGGCCGCAGAGCUACGCCGGGGAUCUGUCCUGGAGGAGCCUUCUCCUCCACCCUGGACACUUUAAGCAGCGGUGGUGGCGAAGGAUGUGAGGUUACAGAGCGGACAGCGAGCCUUCCUCGUUCCGAUGUUGCUCUGCCCGCCGGAGAUGACAAGUGAGGAAGAAGUGUCCUGCCAGGCCAUCCCCUUCAGACACCCACAGCCACAGAGGGGGUUGCUGAGCCGCCUGCAAGAAGUACAUUGUAAAUCUUCUGCGUAACAAGCCCCGCAGUCACUACUCUUCCCGACUCCUUUGCCCCAUCGUGGUUCCCCAGAGGGAUCCUCGGGGCCUUUGGCUGUUAACAUCAAGAGCAAAGGGAGAUCCUGCUGGGGAGACUUGGCUGGGUAAGAUUUCACAUCAAGCUCGCCAGAGGAUUUGCAGGAUUGUAUGUAAACUGAAAUAAAUUUUCCAAAGCCUGA